AUUGAACGCUGGCGGCAUGCCUUACACAUGCAAGUCGAACGGUAGCAGGUCUUCGGAUGCUGACGAGUGGCGAACGGGUGAGUAAUACAUCGGAACGUGCCUAGUAGUGGGGGAUAACUACUCGAAAGAGUGGCUAAUACCGCAUGAGAUCUACGGAGGAAAGCAGGGGAUCGCAAGACCUUGUGCUACUAGAGCGGCCGAUGGCAGAUUAGGUAGUUGGUGGGAUAAAAGCUUACCAAGCCGACGAUCUGUAGCUGGUCUGAGAGGACGAUCAGCCACACUGGGACUGAGACACGGCCCAGACUCCUACGGGAGGCAGCAGUGGGGAAUUUUGGACAAUGGGCGCAAGCCUGAUCCAGCAAUGCCGCGUGCGGGAUGAAGGCCUUCGGGUUGUAAACUGCUUUUGUACGGAACGAAAAGCCCUGGGUUAAUACCCUGGGGUCAUGACGGUACCGUAAGAAUAAGCACCGGCUAACUACGUGCCAGCCGCCGCCGUAAUAC
rnacentral:rRNA from 1 species